AGUCUUAAUGAGACGGGAAUAGCAAACCACAUCACCUGUCUCCUGAGAAAACUGUAAGCAGGUCAAGAAGAAACAGUUAGAACCGGACAUAGAACAACCUCUUGUCCUGAUUUUCCCACAGCUGCACUGGAGCUUCCAGCAGUAUCCGGUGCUGGCCUUUCUGGAACCUGUCAGUCUCCGUGCGUUACCCUCGCUGUUCUCUGUGUCUGAAACGUCCUGCUCAUUAAUCUCAGCUUUGAGUCAAGACUCAAACAUUACUUUCUGGAUAACGGGCCACUCUCCUUUCACUCCCAGCAUAGGCAGAUACUCUUGUGAGAAGUCAUGUAUUUUUCUUCACUGAGCCAGUCCUUGAAAGAUAUCCCCGACAGACAUCAGGAGGCUAGCCUUUGUACCCUCUGGGUUCACCAGUCAGUACAGGUAGGCUGCCCCUUGGGAGGAUAUACAGCCCAGGG
rnacentral:lncRNA from 1 species